GGUUAAGCGACUAAGCGUACACGGUGGAUGCCCUGGCAGUCAGAGGCGAUGAAGGACGUGCUAAUCUGCGAAAAGCGUCGGUAAGGUGAUAUGAACCGUUAUAACCGGCGAUGUCCGAAUGGGGAAACCCAGUGUGAUUCGUCACACUAUCGUUAACUGAAUACAUAGGUUAACGAGGCGAACCGGGGGAACUGAAACAUCUAAGUACCCCGAGGAAAAGAAAUCAACCGAGAUUCCCCCAGUAGCGGCGAGCGAACGGGGAGCAGCCCAGAGUCUGAAUCAGCUUGUGUGUUAGUGGAACGGUCUGGAAAGUCCGACGGUACAGGGUGAUAGUCCCGUACACCAAAAUGCACAGGCUGUGAACUCGAAGAGUAGGGCGGGACACGUGGUAUCCUGUCUGAAUAUGGGGGGACCAUCCUCCAAGGCUAAAUACUCCUGACUGACCGAUAGUGAACCAGUACCGUGAGGGAAAGGCGAAAAGAACCCCGGCGAGGGGAGUGAAAAAGAACCUGAAACCGUGUACGUACAAGCAGUGGGAGCACCUUCGGGUGUGACUGCGUACCUUUUGUAUAAUGGGUCAGCGACUUAUAUUCUGUAGCAAGGUUAACCGUAUAGGGGAGCCGCAGGGAAACCGAGUCUUAACUGGGCGUUAAGUUGCAGGGUAUAGACCCGAAACCCGGUGAUCUAGCCAUGGGCAGGUUGAAGGUUGGGUAACACUAACUGGAGGACCGAACCGACUAAUGUUGAAAAAUUAGCGGAUGACUUGUGGCUGGGGGUGAAAGGCCAAUCAAACCGGGAGAUAGCUGGUUCUCCCCGAAAGCUAUUUAGGUAGCGCCUCGUGAACUCAUCUUCGGGGGUAGAGCACUGUUUCGGCUAGGGGGUCAUCCCGACUUACCAACCCGAUGCAAACUACGAAUACCGAAGAAUGUUAUCACGGGAGACACACGGCGGGUGCUAACGUCCGUCGUGAAGAGGGAAACAACCCAGACCGCCAGCUAAGGUCCCAAAGUCAUGGUUAAGUGGGAAACGAUGUGGGAAGGCACAGACAGCCAGGAUGUUGGCUUAGAAGCAGCCAUCAUUUAAAGAAAGCGUAAUAGCUCACUGGUCGAGUCGGCCUGCGCGGAAGAUGUAACGGGGCUAAACCAUGCACCGAAGCUGCGGCAGCGACACUAUGUGUUGUUGGGUAGGGGAGCGUUCUGUAAGCCUGCGAAGGUGUGCUGUGAGGCAUGCUGGAGGUAUCAGAAGUGCGAAUGCUGACAUAAGUAACGAUAAAGCGGGUGAAAAGCCCGCUCGCCGGAAGACCAAGGGUUCCUGUCCAACGUUAAUCGGGGCAGGGUGAGUCGACCCCUAAGGCGAGGCCGAAAGGCGUAGUCGAUGGGAAACAGGUUAAUAUUCCUGUACUUGGUGUUACUGCGAAGGGGGGACGGAGAAGGCUAUGUUAGCCGGGCGACGGUUGUCCCGGUUUAAGCAUGUAGGCUGAUUGUCCAGGCAAAUCCGGAUAAUCAAGGCUGAGGUGUGAUGACGAGGCACUACGGUGCUGAAGUAACAAAUGCCCUGCUUCCAGGAAAAGCCUCUAAGCAUCAGGUAACAUCAAAUCGUACCCCAAACCGACACAGGUGGUCAGGUAGAGAAUACCAAGGCGCUUGAGAGAACUCGGGUGAAGGAACUAGGCAAAAUGGUGCCGUAACUUCGGGAGAAGGCACGCUGGUGUGUAGGUGAAGUCCCUGCGGAUGGAGCUGAGACCAGUCGAAGAUACCAGCUGGCUGCAACUGUUUAUUAAAAACACAGCACUGUGCAAACACGAAAGUGGACGUAUACGGUGUGACGCCUGCCCGGUGCCGGAAGGUUAAUUGAUGGGGUUAUCCGUAAGGAGAAGCUCUUGAUCGAAGCCCCGGUAAACGGCGGCCGUAACUAUAACGGUCCUAAGGUAGCGAAAUUCCUUGUCGGGUAAGUUCCGACCUGCACGAAUGGCGUAAUGAUGGCCAGGCUGUCUCCACCCGAGACUCAGUGAAAUUGAACUCGCUGUGAAGAUGCAGUGUACCCGCGGCAAGACGGAAAGACCCCGUGAACCUUUACUAUAGCUUGACACUGAACAUUGAGCCUUGAUGUGUAGGAUAGGUGGGAGGCUUUGAAGCGUGGACGCCAGUCUGCGUGGAGCCAACCUUGAAAUACCACCCUUUAAUGUUUGAUGUUCUAACGUUGGCCCCUNACCGGGGUUGCGGACAGUGUCUGGUGGGUAGUUUGACUGGGGCGGUCUCCUCCCAAAGCGUAACGGAGGAGCACGAAGGUUAGCUAAUCCUGGUCGGACAUCAGGAGGUUAGUGCAAUGGCAUAAGCUAGCUUGACUGCGAGCGUGACGGCGCGAGCAGGUGCGAAAGCAGGUCAUAGUGAUCCGGUGGUUCUGAAUGGAAGGGCCAUCGCUCAACGGAUAAAAGGUACUCCGGGGAUAACAGGCUGAUACCGCCCAAGAGUUCAUAUCGACGGCGGUGUUUGGCACCUCGAUGUCGGCUCAUCACAUCCUGGGGCUGAAGUAGGUCCCAAGGGUAUGGCUGUUCGCCAUUUAAAGUGGUACGCGAGCUGGGUUUAGAACGUCGUGAGACAGUUCGGUCCCUAUCUGCCGUGGGCGCUGGAGAAUUGAGGGGGGCUGCUCCUAGUACGAGAGGACCGGAGUGGACGCAUCACUGGUGUUCGGGUUGUCAUGCCAAUGGCACUGCCCGGUAGCUAAAUGCGGAAGAGAUAAGUGCUGAAAGCAUCUAAGCACGAAACUUGCCCCGAGAUGAGUUCUCCCUGAGACUUUAAGUCUCCUGAAGGAACGUUNNGACGAUGACGUUGAUAGGCCGGGUGUGUAAGCGCAGCGAUGCGUUGAGCUAACCGGUACUAAUGAACCGUGAGGCUUAACCUU
rnacentral:rRNA from 1 species